AUUCAAUCCAUGUCAUCAAGCCACGUCAUAUCCCAUUUGUUCCUUCGCCCUUCGAUCCCUCUCCCACUACUCGCCUCUUCGAUCCCUCCCCCACUCUCCGCCGCUUCGGUCCCUCCCCUACUCCCGCCGCUUCGAUCGCUCCCCGCCUCCCGCCGCUUCGAUCUCUACCUCGCCUCCCGCCGCUUCGAUCUCUACCUCGCCUCCUCUUCGAUCCUUCCUUCGCCUCUUCCAUCUCUCUCUUCUCUUUAUCAUCUCGCUCCUCAAAACCCUAAUAAUCAUA
rnacentral:lncRNA from 1 species